rnacentral:rRNA from 1 species
AGCGAACGCUGGCGGCAUGCCUAACACAUGCAAGUCGAACGGCAGCACCGUAAGAGCUUGCUCUUACGGGGGGCGAGUGGCGGACGGGUCACGUAUAUAUCGGAACCUACUCUUUCGUGGGGGAUAACGUAGGGAAACUUACUCUAAGACCGCAUAUGACGCACGGGUGUAAGCAGGGGAUCGUUUCGCCUGGUGGGAUUGAAUGAGCCGAUGUCGGAUUAGCUAGUUGGCGGGGGAAAGGCCCAGCAAGGCGACGAUCGGUAGCUGGUCUGAGAGGAUGGUCAGCCACAUGGGAGGUGAGCCAGCGACCAGACACCUGAGAGAGGACGCAGUCGGGAAUAUUAGGCAAUGGGGGCGAGCCUGAUACAGCAAGACCGCGUAGGUCAAGACGGCGCUCGGGUUGGAAAGCCAUUUUGGUGGGAGAGAAGUGCAGCAGGUUGAUACGCCGCGGUACUGACGGUACCGGGAGAAUAAGCACCGGCUAACUUCGUG